rnacentral:rRNA from 1 species
AAUCAACGCUGGCGGCGUGCCUCAGACAUGCAAGUCGAACGAUUAAAGCUCUCUUCGGAGAGUGUAUAGAGUGGCGCACGGGUGAGUAACACGUAAGUAAUCUACCCUCGAGUGGGGAAUAACGUCCGGAAACGGACGCUAAUACCGCAUAAUGCAGCGGCACCGCAAGGUGACAGUUGUUAAAGAUUUAUCGCUUGAGGAGGAGCUUGCGGCAGAUUAGCUAGUUGGUAAGGUAAUGGCUUACCAAGGCUACGAUCUGUAACCGGUCUAAGAGGGCGGUCGGUCACACUGACACUGAAUAACGGGUCAGACUCCUACGGGAGGCAGCAGUCGGGAAUUUUGGGCAAUGGGCGAAAGCCUGACCCAGCAACGCCGCGUGAAGGAUGAAGUAUUUCGGUAUGUAAACUUCGAAAGAAUAGGAAGAAUAAAUGACGGUACUAUUUAUAAGGUCCGGCUAACUACGUGCCAGCAGCCGCGGUAAGAC